rnacentral:snRNA from 1 species
UGAUGUGAGGGAGAUCCGGCUGAGACAUCUGUCAUCCCAUUGAUCAUCAGGGUUGAUUGGGUGAUCUGACUGGCAAUGUGGGUGUCCCCUUCCUCCUGAACAGCUCCAUGCUUUGCCCUCAGUCAAAGAGGAUGACUUUCUCCAAUAGCAGAUGGCUCUGUCAAGC